rnacentral:rRNA from 1 species
CUCCUAUGGCGUCGCGUCUCUGGGUUUGGGCUAGGGGUUUGACCCGUAAAGCGAGUGCUCGAGAGGCGGAGAGAGGGUGUGGUUAAAGCUUUGUCGCUCUCGGUUUUUCCGUUGCGCUUUGGGAACAGAGGAGAGUCUAAUCCGGGAUCCGAGCUGGGUCUUCCUCCUCCUCCUCCUCCUCGUCCUCGAAGCCGGAGCUCCGCGAGCGGCCGCGCGGUUAAGCGACGCCCAGUUCCCGCUCCACCGGACCCCUACCGACGGCAGCGCCCGGUCGAGUCCCUCGAGCCCCUGUUCGAGCCGAGGCUCGACGGCCGGCUCCGGCUCCGCGAGCGGUUCGAGGAGCUCGUUCGACGCCUUACGGAUGUACCUUAUCUUGUCAGUGGUCCCAGGAGCCACUACCUUCGAUAGGUUGGUACAGAUUGUCGUCAACAGUCUUUUCUUAACGACUUUGUAGUCCUAGUUCUACAAUUUCAAGAGAACCGUUGGACGAAGACACUUUAAUGUUCUUAUUGACGUGGACUUCGAGGUAUAUCACUACUACAAAAUUCCUGGUAUAAAGCAGACUAACAACCAUGUAAACCACCUGAGCGACUACAAUUAUCGGUAAUGAAAUCGUCCUCUCAACGAUAAGACCUUUGUCAACGUUCUAUGGCCCGUACACAACACUACAAUCUGGAACUUACGUUGCUAGAGUAGUGUCUGUACAAGGCUUGAAAAAAUCUUUAGCAGUCACUUUUAGUACUUCGUUUACAACACUUUAGUUACGUCUGUUAAUACCGGGAAUAAUAUCUUCUCUCGCUCUAAUAUGUAGUUUCGGAAGAUGUACAUGAGAAUAGUCGAAAUCCGGCAUUUUUUUGACCAUAAAGAAAUAGACGUGCAUUCGACCGAGCCCCACAAUAUCUCGUUAGACGUCCUUUUGAGCUUGGUAUGUAUUUCUUCAAAGAAUGUAGUAGGAACCGACCCCGGUUGUCAAGACGUUUACCGGUGUAACUAGUGGUGCUCCAGUAUAAACUACACAUAGUCACACGAGGUUCCCAAGAAUUUCACCACCACGGAAUAUAUUGACCCCUUGAUGACCGUCUACUUCAUCUUUACGCCAGAUUUAGUCAACUCAACGAGCCGCUUGAAAAAAGAAAUGGACCUCAGGGACAUAACCUUAGAAAAUUCAGAGAAAAGUAACUCAAGGACUUCUCUAACUGACUGUCUCACCAUCUUUAGGCAGAAAGACACUAACUCGUAAAUUUCUUUACAGAUUAGAGUUUGGUAAGGGCAGGGCUUCGAGGACUCUAAUAGUUCCGUGAAACACUGUCUGACAACCUAAUACUUCUUUUACAUGCUUUUGUUCAACACCGACGACAAACACUACAUCGAACGGUACUUAAACCACGACACGGUUAACUUUGAUAGUUUGAUCAUCGGCUCGCACAGGCACUAUUUAGCGAAGAUCACUUCACGAUGUGGUACCUCGCUAACCGACUAUAGAUGUUCGACAUAACGGACUUCCCAAGACUAUCGAGCUGAUUAAAACUAUUAAAACUCACCUAUGGACCUUUUUAUAACUCUACAUAAAUGCUGUUUCUAAAAUCCGGACUCAGUUAACUUAGUCAGGAUACACCAAGUAAUAAAGGUGGUCUCAAAGGCUGUUUCCUUUCUCACUUUGUAACCCAUUAACGACGGUGUGUAAAACUAUUUCAACUCUACUUUCGAGAACUUGUCUAAGAAGACGUCUUCGUUUCUGAUGUUGUUCUUUACGACUUCAUGUACAGGGAAGCUGUCUGUUCGGUCCUUCUACGUCGACUAGACGUUUUUUCUUAGAACCCUACAAAAGCCUCGUACAGGGCAAACAAGUCACUGCGCCAUUUCCGGCUCCUCAUGAACUUGUACGAAGUAGUCGACUUUCUACUUUUAUAGACCUUUUACAAGUGUUCAAACGAACUAACGCGUUGUUGUAAGUUAUUACGAACCAGAUAAGCCCAACUAAACGAGUUCAGUGAACCACUUUUUGUACUUGACAUACUAAAACAGUCGUGUGAUAGUUACGCUACAAGCAUAGAUGAACACUUAUUUCUUAUACAGUUUCUCUAGGACAGACGUCGAAGACUCGUUUUUAGAUAACCCUUAUGUUUUGUGUAGAGUAGUACGUACCUAGAAGACUGCCGUUAUAGAUCAAAGAAGGGAAGUGAAAAUAGACCUAAGCUUCUUCUAUAGUAACUUGAAGACUUCCUCCUAUUACUUCAAGAAUUUCUCCCAUAACGAGUACAAAACAGGUUUCGACCACCAUUGUAAGCACUUGUUGACCGGAGUAGUUCGAGACAACGAGAAGACAAUCUCGCCGAUACAAAUCUCCCGUGUUCCUUCGUCCGAUUUAUAAGACAAGUACGAAAUCGGCGAUAUUGAUUUCUACUACCAGACUACCGUGAUAGACAAGAAAUGUUCUCCGAACACCUAAACAACCUCCUCUUCUUUCAGGUAAAUGGAAGAUAGAACGUUAGAAACCCCACAUAUCGAGUCUAUCGCUACGGUUAAAAGCUUUGUUCCCCCCUUCUCUAUUAUUCAAAGUAUUGGUUUUUCUAAGAACUGACGUCACUACUAUGCCGAUUUCAAAGGCGACUGUUUAGACUUACCCCACUAUCAAGUGUAUCAACAAACGAGUUCUAAAUACCGUAAUUUUGAAACCACUUCUCGACGGAUGGAACGUUUCUACGAGUUCACGUAGGACCUUAUCUUUUUAAUUACCUAUAGGAAUUCUCGUAAGAAUGUAUACCACUAUAAAGGGGUUUGUACUAUAGUUCACGAUCACUAUUCCGGGUAAACUCCGACCGACGUCGCUUUCGACAAGAGGCGAAUAGUUCUGUUACCCUGGUAUUUCACGGACAACUACACAAAAUAAACUGAGAUUCCUAAAGUGUCCUACUAAAGGGAGUUUACUCCUUCAACAAAGAGUCAUUUCAUGUAGUUAUGUAGUUCCUCUCCCGAAACCUGCGUUUUAUACGGACGCGGAAGAACUAUCCGUAUCUGCUAAUAGUAUGUGGUGUCAUGCUUCUCAAGGUCGUGUUGGACUAGCUUCACAGUGUUUAUACGGUUGUUCAAUUCUACGCAGUUGAUAGACAGGUUCGUCUACACUUAAACGAGUGUCGAAUGGGUCUUAUAUAAUAAGGUAUAGACCAAGUACAGGAGCGAGCACUAGGAAGUACGGGAUUGUAACUCCUUAUACUCCUACAGUUUCGUAAACGAGGUUAAAUGACCGGUAACGUAGAUGAAGAAAGUUGGGAGGACCCUCUUCUUCCAAACGUCAUAUCACAUGGACCAUACUUUUUCCUCUCGAAGUACUGUUGUAAUAGAUAUAAGUCUUCGUAGUUUACAAGUUUUCUGCACCAGCUACGUUUAUUCUGGUUCUGAGAUGUACGAUAUACACUAGAACCAUAAGAAUAACGUUUCUCCAAUACAGGCCUGGUCUAUUUGCAUAGUCUUUUAGACUGCCAAGGUAACGGACGUGUUGAAAUACGCUGUCAAGUCUUACUGGUUUUACUUUUGGGACACCUCUUACUACUUGUCUUCACCAACCCUACACUCUGACAUGAUAGGGUAAAGCUCCGAGAAUACUGUCGUUUACAACGACUCCAACUUAGAGGGCUUCUAUUCUACGAGUAUCUGCUCUGACUACUUAAACCAUUACUCUAGGGAGAUCCCUUUUAACAGGUUUAAGAAUUUAGGGCUCCUCGUUUUUUCUGUCCCCCCUUUGUCUUCCUUCGUAGAUAAGGUCAUUUAUGACCUUUUCUACUACUACAGAACCCAAACAAUUCUCUUUAUUUAAAUCUCUUGGUCCUGUUAAACCCCCUCAGCCACUUCUCGUUUGGUUUCUUCGGCGUCUACCUAUACUUUCUCUCGUUGCUCUUUGGUCAUCUAAAAAGCUGUGGUUUCGCGUUUUCUAGUCAAAGAUUCUCAUCUGGUGUGAGUCCUUUUCCGUCAUUUCUGCCACUGCUCGAAAAUCACGUAAGACGGUCGUUUCCUUUUUGGUCACUGAGGAAUCUUUUGUUCAACUUCCUCUUUUCUUCUCGACUGAGUUUACUAUUUCUGAACCAUCGUAGUGGAUGGUCAUGGUUUAGGGGACAUAGGUUUCCCUUUUUCCUACGAUUCAGGGUGUGACUUCAGAGCGCAUCGUCACGUUUCUUCAGACGACUACUCCUGUCAUGAUACUCUCGACGACUUGACCGAUCAGAUUUACCCAGGAAGUUUUCUGUCUUCGGUUCUGACCAAAGACCAAAUCGUUUCACAAGUUGCGUACUGAGCUCGUCAUUUCUGAACCAUCCUGCAUCUUAUUUUCAAACCACCGGAAACCUAUUCCUUAAAAUAGGUCCACAACACUUUAGAAUACUAAGUCGUUUCUUCGAUGUAUGUCAGAAUAUACUACUGCCUCUAUACCUCGUCGAAUUGUACCGAUUUCUUUUCACCUUUUACUAACUUUCAUUACCAAGUGGUUACUUCGUUUUCUUCCUAGUACAUCCAAGUUUAGUUCCUGCUCGUGUUCUCUGCUUUAGAUGGUCGUCGUGCUUUCAAGGUCGAUUGGUUGUAUUCAGUUAUUUCUGUCGUGUCCUCUGCUUUAGAUGGUCGUCGUGCUUUCAAGGUCGAUUGGUUGUAUUCAGUCAUUUCUGUCGUGUCCUCUGCUUUAGAUGGUCGUCGUGCUUUCAAGGUCGAUUGGUUGUAUUCAGUUAUUUCUGCGGGAGUGGAGAUUUCUCCUUUCUUUUUGGUUUUUGCGGCGGCCUUUUGUUCGCAUCUUUUUGUAGUCCUCCAUCGUUCAGGUAGCUUCGAUGGUCGCUUCGACCACAAUUACUAAGUCUAAGUCGGUCAAGAGAGCGAGUAAGUCUAAGGCUGUUUCUACAUUUUAGUCUACCGCUCUUCCUAUUUCUCCAUCGUCAACCGAGUCGACCCUUUCUUUUUUGUCCUUUUUGUCUCUUUCUCAGACGUCUUCUAUACCUCGACCUUCUCUUUUUUGGACUGCCGCUGUCAAACUCGACGUUCCUCCUUAGACUGCUGCUUUGAGAAUCACAGACCUUUUUCGCACGUAGCGUUCGCUGUAUCCGAAACGAAAGAGAGUCAACUGUAUACAGCAGGAUCCUACGUCUAUAGUCUCCGUCAGCAGACACCUUACACCUAUAGAGUAAUUAAACUGGGAAACGUCGACUGUCAACACUACAUCUUUUAACAAGAAACGUUAUCGUUGUCCAAUCAUAUCUUCUCGGUCGACCUAUCCUUCCUAAACGAAACAUUACAAUAAAUCCACGAUCUUGAACAACGGCUGAAGCGGUACCGUAACAAGCUACCCGCAUACUUAGGAGCUCCCAGUCUACAACACAUUGUAUAGAUCAAGUGGUAAGAAAACGUCCUCUAUCGUUGGCACAGAAACUUUGAGUACAUCUUUACAACAUGUUGUUAUUUAGUCACACAACCCUAACAAAACGAUGGUCACGCCACCAGGAGAGAAGCCCGGGGAUAAGCUUGAAAGCUUCUUUGUCUAAAACUUAUACAUCGCUCUACGUGAUCAACAAACCUAAGCCUGAAGUAUGACACGAUUUCUCUAGUACAACAUUAAGACAAACGACUUGGACAUCCAUCAUAAUUUAAACUACUUACGAACUAAUUCAAAG